UAUUUGAUCAAAUUCAUUCAAGUACUACUUGGUUCCCAAUAUGGAUGAUGAAGAUGGGAACGGAGAAGGAGGGGGAGGGGGGGGAAAGACUGGAAGAUACUGAUGAAUAAGGAGAUGAGGAUGAAGGUGAUGGAGACGACGACGAGGGGGAGGAAGGGGAAGAUGACUAAUGGAACAUUAACAGGUUCCAACCUUCCUUUUGGGAUUUUCUCCAGUCCCUGGGAGCAAGUUGCAGUCCUUCCCCCCACCCUUACCUUAGCUCAUUUGUCCUGUUUUUUUGAAGUCUCUUUUCUCUCCCAUUACACCAUGGUUUUCAACUUAUUUGGGGGGGAAAUACCAUGAGCAGAAUACAGUGGGAAAAGAAUCUCUACCCCUUUCUCUUCGACAUUCAAUUUUUAUCCCUUCCUGUCCCAACAAAAACUUAAUGGAAUCAAUGCUACUGUGCUCUGUGGGAAAAAAGAAAAAUUUUCUACUCCCUUAGCUCUGCUGGAAGGUGGACGGUGGUAGGCCCCUGUGUAGUAGUACAUAGAACUCUAGCUUUCUCCCUCCUUUCUCUUUCUAUUGGGCUCAGAGAUUACUCUGUGUCUGUAUAUGAAUAUGGAAGGUUAGCAUUUACCAACAUUUAUCUGCCUACUUUCUCCUGUUUAAAAAAAAAGAAAAAAGAAAUUAAAAAAAUGGGGUUAUAGAAGGUCAGCAAAGGGUGAGUUUGAGAUGUUUGGGUGAGCCUUUGACAACAUGGCUUCUCCGCUGGCAUGUUUAAUUAUGAUGCUU
rnacentral:lncRNA from 1 species